AUUGAACGCUGGCGGCAUGCCUUACACAUGCAAGUCGAACGGCAGCACGGGAGCAAUCCUGGUGGCGAGUGGCGAACGGGUGAGUAAUAUAUCGGAACGUGCCCAGUCGUGGGGAUAACGUAGCGAAAGCUACGCUAAUACCGCAUACGAUCUACGGAUGAAAGCGGGGGAUCGCAAGACCUCGCGCGAUUGGAGCGGCCGAUAUCAGAUUAGGUAGUUGGUGAGGUAAAGGCUCACCAAGCCGACGAUCUGUAGCUGGUCUGAGAGGACGACCAGCCACACUGGGACUGAGACACGGCCCAGACUCCUACGGGAGGCAGGCAGUGGGGAAUUUUUGGACAAUGGGCGCAAGCCUGAUCCAGCAAUGCCGCGUGCAGGA
rnacentral:rRNA from 1 species